GGGUCGGUACCCGAGUGGCCAAAGGGGGUUGACUGUAAAUCAACUGGCAUAGUCCUACGGAGGUUCGAAUCCUUCCCGGCCCACCA
rnacentral:tRNA from 1 species